UACAGAGACUGCAAGCGUUACUCGGAUUCACUGGGCGUAAAGGGAGCGCAGGCGGACCUGUGUGUCAGAUGUGAAACCCCAGGGCUCAACCCUGGGACUGCGUCUGAAACUGCCGGUCUAGGGACUCGGAGGGGCUAGUGGAAUUCCUGGUGGAGCAGUGAAAUGCGUAGAUAUCAGGAGGAACACCAACGGCGAAGGCAGCUAGCUGGACGAGAUCCGACGCUCAGGCUCGAAAGUAUGGGGAGCAAAAAGG
rnacentral:rRNA from 1 species